rnacentral:rRNA from 1 species
GAGUUUGAUCGUGGCUCAGGAUGAACGCUAGCGGCAGGCUUAACACAUGCAAGUCGAGGGGUAGAGUAGCAAUACUUGAGACCGGCGCACGGGUGCGUAACGCGUAUGCAACCUACCUUUUACAGAGGGAUAGCCCAGAGAAAUUUGGAUUAAUACCUCAUAGUAUAUGUCUUUCGCAUGUUAGACAUAUUAAAGUUCCAACGGUAAAAGAUGGGCAUGCGUCCUAUUAGCUAGAUGGUAAGGUAACGGCUUACCAUGGCAACGAUAGGUAGGGGUCCUGAGAGGGAGAUCCCCCACACUGGUACUGAGACACGGACCAGACUCCUACGGGAGGCAGCAGUGAGGAAUAUUGGACAAUGGGCGCAAGCCUGAUCCAGCCAUGCCGCGUGCAGGAAGACGGUCCUAUGGAUUGUAAACUGCUUUUGUACGGGAAGAAACACUCCCUCGUGAGGGAGCUUGACGGUACCGUAAGAAUAAGGAUCGGCUAACUCCGUGCCAGCCGCCGCUGUAAC